CUUCAUUCCGAUUGAUCCCGUCGGACCUCACUGCUAUCGAGGUGGGACUAAGCCAUGCUAGUCGUACGCCCAGAACUAUGUCUGGGAGUGGCGUACUGCUCAGUAACACGUAGCUAACCUGCCCUUAGGACGGGGACAACCCCGAGAAAUUGGGGCUAAUCCCCGAUAGGUGUGAUGUCCUGGAAUGGUAUCACGCCCAAAGGUCCCGACAGCAUGUUGUUGUUACGCCUAAGGAUGGGGCUGCGGCCGAUCAGGCAGUUGGUGAGGUAAUGGCUCACCAAACCUUUGACCGGUACGGGCCAUGAGAGUGGUAGCCCGGAGAUGGAUACUGAGACAAGGAUCCAGGCC
rnacentral:rRNA from 1 species